GGCACUGUGGCUCAAGUGGUAGAGCACUAGCCUUGAGCACUAGCUCAGGGAUAGCGCCCAGGCCCUGAGUUCAAGCUCUGCACUGACA
rnacentral:tRNA from 1 species